rnacentral:rRNA from 1 species
ACUCAAAUGAAUUGACGGGGGCUCACACAAGCGGUGGAGCAUGUGGAUCAAUUCGAAGCAACGCGAAGAACCUUACCUGGGUUUGACAUGUACGGAUGCUCUCGGUGAAAGCUGAGUAGGCUGCCUUCGGGUGAAACGUACACAGGUGCUGCAUGGCUGUCGUCAGCUCGUGCUGUGAAGUGUCGGGUUAAGUCCCUUAACGAGCGAAACCCUUAUCGCUAGUUGCCAGCGGGUCAUGCCGGGAACUCUAGUGAGACUGCCGGCGUUAAGCCGGAGGAAGGCGGGGACGACGUCAAGUCAUCAUGGCCUUUAUGUCCAGGGUGUCACACGUGCUACAAUGGGGCGUACAGAGCGAUGCAAGAGCGCAAGCUGGAGCAAAUCGCAGAAAGCGUCCCUCAGUUCGGAUCGAGGUCUGCAACCCGACCUCGUGAAGCUGGAAUCGCUAGUAAUCGCGUAUCAGCCAUGACGCGGUGAAUAUGUUCCUGAGCCUUGUACACACCGCCCGU